UGAGAUGGAGUCUCACUCUCUUGCCCAGGCUGGAGUGCAAUGACAUGAUCUCGGCUCACUGCAACCUCUGCCUCCCAGGUUCAAGUGAUUCUCCUGCCUGAGCCUCCUGAGUAGCUGGGACUACAGGUGACUGAAUGUCUGACCACCGUGAAGUCAGUCAACAAAACGGACAGUCAGACCCUCCUGACCACAUUUGGAUCUCUGGAACAGCUCAUCGCCGCAUCAAGAGAAGAUCUGGCCUUAUGCCCAGGCCUGGGCCCUCAGAAGGUAAGAGCUCUGGGAAAGAACCCAAGGAGCUGGGGGAAGGAGAGAGCCCCAAAUAAACACAACCUGAGACCCCAAAGUUUUAAGGUGAAAAAAGAACCAAAGACCAGACACAGUGGCUUCCGCCUGUAAUCCCAACAUUUUGGGAGGCCAAGGCGGGAGGACUGCUUGAGGCCAGAAGUUGGAGACCAGCCUGGGCAAGUGGACACCUCACUUUUACUAAAAAUAAAAAAAACUAGCUGGG
rnacentral:sRNA from 1 species